CAGUGCGACUCUCUCUCUCUCUCUGAUAAAUAAAUAUAUUGUUUUCCCUAUAUAGCCUCUAUAUUUGGUGUCAGAAGUGACUUGGAAUUACAGCCCAUGCCUUGGAAACCACCUGAUAUCGGCAUCCUGAGUUGUGGAAUUAAUUGUAUAGAAUCACGAUCCUUCGCUGAAUGUGUCACCUGGCCAAAAGAAAGAAAUUCAAUGAGAAGAAUUGGACCUUGAAGAGUGAUUAACGAUUCGUCCUGCUGCAGAUUUCUCACUUGAAGACUUUCAUUUGCUUUGCAGUGGCAGAAUGUCCCUUCUCUCUUCACUCAGACUAAGUACUUCAGAGUUCUCUGAAGUGAGGAACAGUGCGAUUAACUGUUCAGGCAUCAGCUAAAUUGUUUUUAACAUAGGAAAGGGCUUCAUUUACUGACCUAAGAAUAAUCUUUUUGUCACUGGAUUUGGUUAAUUCUAUGUAUGGAAGGAAAUUUCCAUGUUAUCAGUAACCAAAGGUUCUUUGCUUCUUAUUUUCUGCUAAUUUUCCUUGCUCCAUGGUGAUAAUAAUUAUCCCAAGAAUAAAUACCUACUAAUUAGAAUACUGA